GUGGCGACGGGUGAGUAACACGUGGGCAAUCUGCCCUUCACUCUGGGACAAGCCCUGGAAACGGGGUCUAAUACCGGAUAACACUCUGUCCCGCAUGGGACGGGGUUAAAAGCUCCGGCGGUGAAGGAUGAGCCCGCGGCCUAUCAGCUUGUUGGUGGGGUAAUGGCCUACCAAGGCGACGACGGGUAGCCGGCCUGAGAGGGCGACCGGCCACACUGGGACUGAGACACGGCCCAGACUCCUACGGGAGGCAGCAGUGGGGAAUAUUGCACAAUGGGCGAAAGCCUGAUGCAGCGACGCCGCGUGAGGGAUGACGGCCUUCGGGUUGUAAACCUCUUUCAGCAGGGAAGAAGCGAAAGUGACGGUACCUGCAGAAGAAGCGCCGGCUAACUACGUGCCAGCAGCCGCGGUAAUACGUAGGGCGCAAGCGUUGUCCGGAAUUAUUGGGCGUAAAGAGCUCGUAGGCGGCUUGUCACGUCGGAUGUGAAAGCCCGGGGCUUAACCCCGGGUCUGCAUUCGAUACGGGCUAGCUAGAGUGUGGUAGGGGAGAUCGGAAUUCCUGGUGUAGCGGUGAAAUGCGCAGAUAUCAGGAGGAACACCGGUGGCGAAGGCGGAUCUCUGGGCCAUUACUGACGCUGAGGAGCGAAAGCGUGGGGAGCGAACAGGAUUAGAUACCCUGGUAGUCCACGCCGUAAACGUUGGGAACUAGGUGUUGGCGACAUUCCACGUCGUCGGUGCCGCAGCUAACGCAUUAAGUUCCCCGCCUGGGGAGUACGGCCGCAAGGCUAAACUCAAGGAAUUGACGGGGGCCCGCACAGCAGCGGAGCAUGUGGCUUAAUUCGACGCACGCGAA
rnacentral:rRNA from 1 species